rnacentral:rRNA from 1 species
GACGAACGCUGGCGGCGUGCUUAACACAUGCAAGUCGAGCGAUGAAGCUUCCUUCGGGAAGUGGAUUAGCGGCGGACGGGUGAGUAACACGUGGGCAACCUGCCUCAAAGAGGGGAAUAGCCCUCCGAAAGGAGGAUUAAUACCGCAUAAAGUUAGAGUUUCGCAUGAAACUUUAACCAAAGGAGUAAUCCGCUUUGAGAUGGGCCCGCGUCCCAUUAGCUAGUUGGUAGGGUAAUGGCUUACCAAGGCAACGAUGGGUAGCCGACCUGAGAGGGUGAUCGGCCACAUUGGAACUGAGACACGGUCCAGACUCCUACGGGAGGCAGCAGUGGGGAAUAUUGCGCAAUGGGGGAAACCCUGACGCAGCAACGCCGCGUGGGUGAUGAAGGUUUUCGGAUCGUAAAACCCUGUUUUCUGGGACGAUAAUGACGGUACCAGAUGAGGAAGCCACGGCUAACUACGUGCCAGCAGCCGCGGUAAUACGUAGGUGGCAAGCGUUGUCCGGAUUUACUGGGCGUAAAGGGUGCGUAGGCGGAUGCUUAAGUGAGAUGUGAAAUACCUAGGCUUAACUUAGGGGCUGCAUUUCAAACUGGGCAUCUAGAGUACAGGAGAGGGAAACGGAAUUCCUAGUGUAGCGGUGAAAUGCGUAGAGAUUAGGAAGAACACCAGUGGCGAAGGCGGUUUCCUGGACUGUAACUGACGCUGAGGCACGAAAGCGUGGGUAGCAAACAGGAUUAGAUACCCUGGUAGUCCACGCCGUAAACGAUGAAUACUAGGUGUAGAAGGGUCCAACCUUCUGUGCCGCAGUUAACACAUUAAGUAUUCCGCCUGGGGAGUACGGUCGCAAGACUAA